AAUUCCUUGUCGGGUAAGUUCCGACCUGCACGAAUGGCAUAAUGAUGGGGGCGCUGUCUCCAGCAGAGACUCAGUGAAAUCGAAUUCGCCGUGAAGAUGCGGUGUACCCGCGGCUAGACGGAAAGACCCCGUGAACCUUUACUGCAGCUUGGCUGUGGCACCGGAAAUAGUAUGUGUAGGAUAGGUGGGAGGCUUUGAAGCAGCGGCGCCAGUCGUUGUGGAGCCAUCCUUGAAAUACCACCCUUAUUCUUUUCGUUGUCUAACCGCGUCCCUGGAUGGGACCGGGACCCAGCCUGGCGGGCAGUUUGACUGGGGCGGUCGCCUCCUAAAGAGUAACGGAGGCGCGCGAUGGUAAGCUCAAGGCGGUCGGACAUCGCCUGUUGAGUGCAAUGGCAUAAGCUUGCCUGACUGUGAGGUCGACGGACCGAGCAGAGACGAAAGUCGGUCAUAGUGAUCCGGUGGUCCCGAA
rnacentral:rRNA from 13 species